AUUCUGGCUCAGGAUGAACGCUGGCGGCGUGCUUAACACAUGCAAGUCGAACGGGAUCCAUCAGGCUUUGCUUGGUGGUGAGAGUGGCGAACGGGUGAGUAAUGCGUGACCGACCUGCCCCAUACACCGGAAUAGCUCCUGGAAACGGGUGGUAAUGCCGGAUGCUCCGACUCCUCGCAUGGGGUGUCGGGAAAGAUUAUAUCGGUAUGGGAUGGGGUCGCGUCCUAUCAGGUAGUCGGCGGGGUAACGGCCCACCGAGCCUACGACGGGUAGCCGGCCUGAGAGGGCGACCGGCCACAUUGGGACUGAGAUACGGCCCAGACUCCUACGGGAGGCAGCAGUGGGGAAUAUUGCACAAUGGGCGCAAGCCUGAUGCAGCGACGCCGCGUGCGGGAUGACGGCCUUCGGGUUGUAAACCGCUUUUGAUCGGGAGCAAGCCUUCGGGUGAGUGUACCUUUCGAAUAAGCACCGGCUAACUACGUGCCAGCAGCCGCGGUAAUACGUAGGGUGCAAGCGUUAUCCGGAAUUAUUGGGCGUAAAGGGCUCGUAGGCGGUUCGUCGCGUCCGGUGUGAAAGUCCAUCGCUUAACGGUGGAUCUGCGCCGGGUACGGGCGGGCUGGAGUGCGGUAGGGGAGACUGGAAUUCCCGGUGUAACGGUGGAAUGUGUAGAUAUCGGGAAGAACACCAAUGGCGAAGGCAGGUCUCUGGGCCGUUACUGACGCUGAGGAGCGAAAGCGUGGGGAGCGAACAGGAUUAGAUACCCUGGUAGUCCACGCCGUAAACGGUGGAUGCUGGAUGUGGGGCCCGUUCCACGGGUUCCGUGUCGGAGCUAACGCGUUAAGCAUCCCGCCUGGGGAGUACGGCCGCAAGGCUAAAACUCAAAGAAAUUGACGGGGGCCCGCACAAGCGGCGGAGCAUGCGGAUUAAUUCGAUGCAACGCGAAGAACCUUACCUGGGCUUGACAUGUUCCCGACAGCCGUAGAGAUAUGGCCUCCCUUCGGGGCGGGUUCACAGGUGGUGCAUGGUCGUCGUCAGCUCGUGUCGUGAGAUGUUGGGUUAAGUCCCGCAACGAGCGCAACCCUCGCCCUGUGUUGCCAGCACGUCAUGGUGGGAACUCACGGGGGACCGCCGGGGUCAACUCGGAGGAAGGUGGGGAUGACGUCAGAUCAUCAUGCCCCUUACGUCCAGGGCUUCACGCAUGCUACAAUGGCCGGUACAACGGGAUGCGACACGGCGACGUGGAGCGGAUCCCUGAAAACCGGUCUCAGUUCGGAUUGGAGUCUGCAACCCGACUCCAUGAAGGCGGAGUCGCUAGUAAUCGCGGAUCAGCAACGCCGCGGUGAAUGCGUUCCCGGGCCUUGUACACACCGCCCGUCAAGUCAUGAAAGUGGG
rnacentral:rRNA from 1 species